CCGGAUAGCUCAGUCGGUAGAGCAUC
rnacentral:piRNA from 11 species